rnacentral:ncRNA from 16 species
GAGGAACCCGGUGCGAGUCCGGGACGGUCCCGCCACUGUGACCGGGCCAUCGUGGUGUGCCCGGGAGUCAGGAGACUC